GACGAACGCUGGCGGCGUGCUUAACACAUGCAAGUCGAACGGAAAGGCCUGCUUUCCCUUGUGGAUUGCGGGUACUCGAGUGGCGAACGGGUGAGUAACACGUGAGUGAUCUGCCCCCAACUUGGGUAUAAGCCUGGGAAACUGGGUCUAAUUCCCGAUAGGACUGCAGGGUGGUGCCUGUGGUGGAAAACGAUUUUCUAGUGGUUGGGGAUGAGCUCGCGGCCUAUCAGCUUGUUGGUGGGGUAAUGGCCUACCAAGGCGGCGACGGGUAGCCGGCCUGAGAGGGUGGACGGCCACAUUGGGACUGAGAUACGGCCCAGACUCCUACGGGAGGCAGCAGUGGGAAUAUUGCACAAUGGGCGGAAGCCUGAUGCAGCGACGCCGCGUGGGGGAUGACGGCCUUCGGGUUGUAAACUCCUUUCGACCGCGAGGAAGCCACCUGGUUGGAAGGGUGGUGACGGUAGUGGUAGAAGAAGCACCGGCUAACUACGUG
rnacentral:rRNA from 1 species